rnacentral:rRNA from 1 species
UGCGAGCGUGACGGCGCGAGCAGGUGCGAAAGCAGGUCAUAGUGAUCCGGUGGUUCUGAAUGGAAGGGCCAUCGCUCAACGGAUAAAAGGUACUCCGGGGAUAACAGGCUGAUACCGCCCAAGAGUUCAUAUCGACGGCGGUGUUUGGCACCUCGAUGUCGGCUCAUCACAUCCUGGGGCUGAAGUAGGUCCCAAGGGUAUGGCUGUUCGCCAUUUAAAGUGGUACGCGAGCUGGGUUUAGAACGUCGUGAGACAGUUCGGUCCCUAUCUGCCGUGGGCGCUGGAGAACUGAGGGGGGCUGCUCCUAGUACGAGAGGACCGGAGUGGACGCAUCACUGGUGUUCGGGUUGUCAUGCCAAUGGCACUGCCCGGUAGCUAAAUGCGGAAGAGAUAAGUGCUGAAAGCAUCUAAGCACGAAACUUGCCCCGAGAUGAGUUCUCCCUGACUCCUUGAGAGUCCUGAAGGAACGUUGAAGACGACGACGUUGAUAGGCCGG